GCGCUCGUGGCGGAAUGGCAGACGCGCUAGGUUGAGGGCCUAGUGCCCGUUAAGGGCAUGAGAGUUCGAGUCUCUCCGAGCGCACCG
rnacentral:tRNA from 1 species